CUCCUUACCUCCAGCAGCUCCUCCUGGCCGGGCCCUAAGGGAUUUAUUUGGCUUGGGAUUUGGUAGACAAGACGCCGUUUCACCCUCCAAAAAAUGUCUUAAAAUGACUGCUGGAUGAUGAUGAGAGGAAGAUUGUGGAAGUUUUGCAGCUGCUUCCAAACAUGGCUGCUCAUUGUCAUCACGUUCAGGAUGGGAGCCGCUGCUGCGAGCUCUAACUUCCCAUAAAGCCCAAAUUCAUCUCAGAUUUUCUGUGGAUUUCAACUGCGCACUCAUUGUUCUCGCACUCGGCCUGCAUUCACCGGCUUUCCCCCCCCCCCGUUUAAGCUCCUCUUCAGAUCUAACUCAUCGCCUUUCCUCUCCAUCAUCCUCUCGCCUGCUUUCUCUCAAUCUCCAAACUUUUAUCCCUGCAUCAGGACUUCGUAGGCAGCUCAUCCGUGGCGAUUUAUGAGCCUCCUUCGCUUUUUAAUCAGGUUUUAUAACGCGUAGAUGUUUGUAAUUUCACUCCUCCAGUGGCCGGUAUAGUGGAGGAGAAAGUGGACGCCUUCAGCCUUCAGAGCCCAUUAACUUGUAUCAUUAGCUUGAACUUCAUGAAUACAUUAGCUUUCCUGGCCUGCAAUGCUUUCUCAGUCAAGGUUAGCUCGCACUCAUUUGGGUGAAAUUAAUCAUUUUGAUGUAUGGCUCGGAAAGGGAGCGCUUCCAAGGGACUCCUGUGACUGGAGUAACAAAGCUAACUGCCAUCAACAAUCCUCGGACUUUCAAUUGGACCUCAUUCGCUUACUUUGUGUUGAAGAAUAAUUGCAAACAGUUUACACCUCCAACCAUGAACCAUUUUAAGGAAAAGAUGAGGUUGAAAACAACAUUAAGAAUGCACAAAAUACCACAACUUAUAAAGUUUUAUUGUUAAAAUGUUACCAUAACUACCGUAGCUAACAGUAAAUGCCUGCAGCACACGCCUGCACACAAUGUAGAUGUGUAAUAUCAUUAAUGCCAUCCCUCCUCCCACCUGUUAUUCAUGAUAACCCCACCCUCAAGAUUAACAGUGCUUUUCUUUAAUACACAGUAACAGUAACACCCCACGGUAUACGUUUACGCAACCUCUUUGUGUUGUUUAAAGGUAUCACGUAAAGACAACUGUGUAGUCACCUCGCAAAUGAAAGUGUCUGUCGGUCUGAUUAUGCUUCGAUUGACAUAAUUUUUGAAUGAAGACAAAGUUUUCAGGGUUCUUCCAUGGCAGACACAAAUGCAGUCGUCUUUCACGACAUCGCGUUUUUGUUUUGUGGUGGACUAUCGCCUGUUGUUAGUCAAAACAUAUUGAAAGACAAGUUAUAUGUAGUAUUGUGUUCAUCUUACAUUGAUGAGACAUGACAUGAGAUUACGUUACCGUUACACUGCAUGGAGUCAGCCAUGGCAUGUCCCACAUGAUGGAGUGAAAAGAUUUCCUCCCAUUCUGUGUGGAAGUGGUAAGUUUUUGGCUUCUUACUUGCCCUUCCCCACUCUAUUUGAAACAUUUUCAUAAGUUUAGAAUAAAUAAAUGGGAGGCUAACUUGUUAGCUCAGUAGCAUGUUAUGUUUAAAGCGGUUUAGCAUCUCUUGUGUCCUGCAGUGGUCUCAUUGCCUGCGCAUUACAGUUGAGCAGUGUGUUGUAAACAAACAAUAAUAGGAGUGUAAAGGUGACUAUGGGGUGUUAUUUCAUGUCUACGGGGCUCUAAUGAUGGUACAAAUGAUAUUUCGGAGGUCAUAAACAGGUUUUCUAUGCUCUAACUACAAAAAUAUUCCAUUUAUUAAUAUUGAAUCCUACUAUGCAGAAAUUGAGGAAUCUGGAAUCAAUUAACCACAAUAAAUGCGGGCCGACUGUACAGUGGCACCUGUAAAGCUAGGCAAGUUUUUAAGAAAAAAUACGCCUCUCAAGUCAAACAAAACUCAUGAUGUCACAUGAAACCUCAGCCAACAUAAAAGGAUUAACUCUAGUUCGAAUAUUUCAAUAUUAACAGUGCUUAACUUCUUUUUACACCGGUCUCCUGUGUGUGGACAAGUAGCAUGCAGUUAUUCAAGACUGAAGACGGGAACCCGCUGGUGUUCAAAAGCAAUUUAUCCCGGUGUGAUCCCGUGGAGGCAAACCGGGGCUCCCAAACGGUUCCUCUGGCAGACGUGACAUAUCGAGGUUGGCAGGCCGUGUUCUGCAAAAAGCCUUCUUAGAAAGGCUUUGGCUGACCUCCAGAGCAGAGCCACUUCCAGCAUUAAGCCACUGAGGUCGAGCAUUGUGACAUCUGCGGUUACGCUUCCGAUUCCACCAAUACUUAUCUGCAAUAAGCUACCACAAGACGUCUUCAAAGGAUGGAGACCUCUUGCAGCCUUCUCAUUGGCGUUCCGCUGCCUGAAACACCUCCUCUUAUUGGUCCACUUUGAGGGUCUUUAUUAAAGCAGAGAAAAGAGAUGAGAUAAAAGCUUUCUUGAAUGGAACACAACAACCAGAGACUGGUGGACACAUCGUCUGAAUGACGACACUGCCCUCUAGUGGCAGAAAUCGGGACAACUGAAAAAGCUGUUCUGAAUAACGGUACAGUACUACGUUUUCUGCACUUGAGGGAGACAUACACAUUGACGUCAAAUGAUCCUGUAUCCGAACUUCAAAGCUGCUUCGACUACUACAAGUGGAGGCAUGCCAUCCAUCCAUCCAUCCAUCCAUCCAUCCAUCCAUCUAUCUUCUACCGCUUAUCCAACAGCCUCAGCAGGGAAAUCCAGACUUCCCUCUCGUUUGUCCAGCUACUCCCGGCAUACCCGAGGCGUUCCCAGGCCAGUUGAGAGACAUAGCCUCUCCAAUGUGUCCUGGGUCUUCCCCGAGGCCUUCUACCGGCCGGACAUGGCCUGAACACCUCCCCCGGGGAUCCAGAGUUGUUGUUGGGACCAGCCGGCGAUCUCUUACGGCUCUCCCCCUCCUCCCGCUGUCUGUGAGCGCAUGCUGUCACCGGCAGGCUCGUGCAGUAGACUGUGGCGUCUGAAUGCUGCAUACAGAGGCCCUCCUGAACAGAACAUGGGAUCCAUAUACUGGCAGGAUGAGG